GCAGCGGUGGUUCAGUGGUAGAAUUCUUGCCUUCUACACAGGAGACUUGGGUUCAAUUCCUGGCCAGUGCA
rnacentral:tRNA from 1 species